rnacentral:rRNA from 1 species
UACGGAGGGUGCAAGCGUUAAUCGGAUUUAUUGGGCGUAAAGGGCGCGUAGGCUGGCGAAUAAGUCAGAUGUGAAAUCCUGAGGCUUAACCUCAGACCUGCAUUUGAAACUAUUUGUCUAGAGGGUAGGCGGAGAAAACGGAAUUCCACAAGUAGCGGUGAAAUGCGUAGAUAUGUGGAAGAACACCGGUGGCGAAGGCGGUUUUCUAGCUUACUCCUGACGCUGAGGCGCGAAAGUUAGGGGAUCAAACAGG